rnacentral:rRNA from 1 species
GAUGAACGCUGGCGGCGUGCUUAACACAUGCAAGUCGAACGGAAAGGCUCCUGCCUGCAGGGGUACUCGAGUGGCGAACGGGUGAGUAACACGUGGGUGAUCUGCCCUGUACUUCGGGAUAAGCUUGGGAAACUGGGUCUAAUACCGGAUAUGACAAUCUCUUGGAUGGGGUUGUGGAAAGCUUUUGCGGUAUGGGAUGAGCUCGCGGCCUAUCAGCUUGUUGGUGAGGUAAUGGCCUACCAAGGCGUCGACGGGUAGCCGGCCUGAGAGGGUGUACGGCCACAUUGGGACUGAGAUACGGCCCAGACUCCUACGGGAGGCAGCAGUGGGGAAUAUUGCACAAUGGGCGCAAGCCUGAUGCAGCGACGCCGCGUGGGGGAUGACGGCCUUCGGGUUGUAAACUCCUUUCGCAACCGACGAAGCUUUUGUGACGGUAGGUUGAGAAGAAGCACCGGCUAACUACGUG